rnacentral:rRNA from 1 species
GACGAACGCUGGCGGUGUGCUUAACACAUGCAAGUCGAACGGUAAGGCCCUUUCGGGGGUACACGAGUGGCGAACGGGUGAGUAACACGUGAGUAACCUGCCCUCAUCUCUGGGAUAACAGUCGGAAACGGUUGCUAAUACUGGAUAUGAGCUUGCAAGGCAUCUUGUGGGUUGGAAAGAUUUUUUUUGGUUGGGGAUGGACUCGCGGCCUAUCAGCUUGUUGGUGAGGUAGUGGCUCACCAAGGCUUCGACGGGUAGCCGGCCUGAGAGGGCGACCGGCCACAUUGGGACUGAGAUACGGCCCAAACUCCUACGGGAGGCAGCAAUGGGGAAUAUUGCACAAUGGACGGAAGUCUGAUGCAGCAACGCCGCGUGCGGGAUGACGGCCUUCGGGUUGUAAACCGCUUUCAAUUGUGACGAAGCUUUUUUGUGACGGUAGCAGUAGAAGAAGCACCGGCUAACUACGUG